CUGCUCUCCCUCACUCUUUAUGGAGAAAAUUAAAGAGCCACAACAGUCCGCGAAACAGGUCACUUUACCUGCACGUCUUUCCACUGUCGGGGGAAACCAGUGUACAGCGUCAGAGUCAAGCAGGCUAUUUUGAGACAAGCCUAUGGAACACACUGCCUUUAGCCCCCAUCAUCUUGCACUCUCAGGGGGGUUUACCAAGUCUUCUGCCCUGCUGGUGCUGACAUUUAGGCCCACAUGAAUCAAUGAGACAAGCUGUGGAGGGAUGCCUGAACUUCACAGCAGCCCUCCUCACAGUUCACAUUUAGCCCACACCAUGUACAGGCAAAAAGGGUUGCAGGGUCACAUUUUUAGCCUGAUUUCCGCUUGUGCAGAUCAGCAAAACUUGGCAAAGCAAUUGAAGGAAUGAGAACUGUUUAUCUGCUCAGACAAAAUCAGAAUCUUCCUCCUUACAGAACCAUUUUCCCUGUUUAUAUUAGAAGAGUUUCUGUGUAACUUUGCAGACGUAAACCUGACACUGUAGCCAACUUCAGUGUGUUAAUGACAUGUGCAUGUUACAAGAUGAUUGAGUGAUGUUUGUGAAAUAUUGGUGAAAUGCAAGAUUUAGAUAACUGAUCUAUUUUUAUUAAUUAUUUAUGCAAGUAAGUGUUUUUGUGUUUGUGUCCUUGAAGGGACAGGAGGUUUUGAAAGUGCAGUUUGGACUGCUCUGUUCUCGUAUAGAUGGCAGACAUAUUUACAGGAACGGAUUUAAGAGUGUGUGUGUGUGUGUGUGUGUGUGUGUGUGUUUAUGUGUGUCUAUAUGUGUGUGAUGGAGAAGGCCAGGGAUUGAUUAGAGCUUUCACUCUCAAUGUGGUUAAUUGCCCAGUGAGGCUUAGCAGACGGUGCUGGCUAGAUUGAUGUCCGAUAGCCAAGAAG